CACCACCAGCGCCGCCACCACC
rnacentral:siRNA from 1 species